AACGUAGGAGGCAAGCGUUAUCCGGAUUUACUGGGCGUAAAGCGUGCGUAGGCGGGUUGGUAAGUGGGUGGUGAAAGCGCUCGGCUAAACCGGGCGAGUGCCAUCCAGACUGCCAGUCUAGAGGCGGAUAGAGGGGUGCGGAAUUCCGGGUGUAGCGGUGAAAUGUGUAGAGAUCCGGAGGAACACCAGUGGCGAAGGCGGCUCACUGGCCCGGUACUGACGCUGAUGUGCGAAAGCGUGGGGAGCAAACAGG
rnacentral:rRNA from 1 species